UGGCUCAGUCGGUAGAGCAUGGCACUUGCAAUGCCAGGGUUGUGGGUUUAAUUCACAC
rnacentral:tRNA from 1 species